UUAACCCUUAAUUCUUUAACUCUCUACCAAAUUUUAUACUCAACUAAAUUUUACACAGUAGAGGUUAAAAACGCAUCCUUACUAAAAUUUCUACUACUAAAAACAGAUGAUACAAACACUUUUCUGUCUGAUAGCUAAAGGCCAUACUGCUCUCAACGCUCAAGCAAAAAACGCAAGUCCUUCUCCCUCGUUAUACCAACCGAGUUUGGUUCGGAAGAUACAUUUGAAGAAGGGAAAACAAAAGCAACACCAUUAGCUAAUUACUUGAGAAAACAGAUAAAGAAACACUAAUUAAGCAAUUAAAUAAUAAUACCAAGAUGAUGUUUCAUCAUAAGGAUGUGACUAUCUGAUCUAGAGAGGGCAAAGAGUGGAGCUUGUCGCGGCAGGUAGGGCAUGAAGAGUUGGAAAUCAACCACUUAUCUAUGCACACAACAUGGAACCGAUGAUUGCAUUUCGGCAGGUUCCUGAGCUUGUCGCCGUUGGCAAAGUCUGCUAAGCAAAUAGCACAACCUGAAGCAGAAGCCGUUGAUGGUGAAGAAGAACUCUGAUCAUCAGAAUAAGUAGAGGUUGGCAAAGCAACCAUUUCCUUCUUCUUUAGGCCAGUGUUGUGUCUACGAGAGACUACCCAUUCUACAGUCUCAGUUAUUGCACGGCGUGUGCACUGAAAUACACAGUGUAACAUGGAGUUGAGGCCUAGAGCACAAACCAAAGCACAUAACAUAGCAGCUAUGAUGACCAUGAUAUUGAAAUCUGCGGAAGUUGCUGGUGGCAGCUGCGGUGGUUCUUGGGCGCUUAAGGUGGGGGAUGGUGAGAUUUGAGCCAUAGAAUAAGGGAUGGGAAGUUGGUAGACAAUGAAUGGUGUUAAUAUGAUAGGGGAAAUGGUGGCAUGUGAUAUGCUUACUUGAUAAUCCACUUUCUAUCUACUUUUUCUCGCAUGAUGAUAUUGCAAGAAAGAAAAAGAAGAGGCAUAGAUUUCUCUUCCUCUUGAAUAAUUUUCUAUUGAUUGGUUGUUUUCAUCAAGUUGUAGCAGAGAACAAGAUUUUGAAG
rnacentral:misc_RNA from 1 species